rnacentral:lncRNA from 1 species
GGUCUUGGCAGUUUGGCACAGUUGGAAGGUUUGAGACAAGUUCCUGUUAUUUUGCAAGGUUUCAGAUCAUGUAAGUAGUGCCUGUUAGAAUGAUUUCCUGACUCCAUUUCAGAGCUCUGAACGAGUAAUGCCAUUUUGUAUAUCACAUUUCACAGGUACCUAAUAAGAGCAAGGCAAUUCCAUGAUGCCAUCUGCCGAAUUUGUUGCUGAGAAGCAGUUGCUGUUAGUCGAGCAUUGUCUGACAAAGGAACCCGCUUCUCAGCACAAGUGAAUCAAUAAGCUGAAGCCCAUGGAAUCUGUUACCAUGUACCUCAUCUCUCAGAAGUCACUGCCUCUAGAACGGUAGAAAGUGCUCUGAAACUUCAUUAUGGUACCUCCUGGGAUUCACUGCUUUGAGAAGAGAAGUUUGAUAAUACUGGUACGUUGAUGUCGCCUUGUGACAGAAGCCUGAACUGCAGUUUAAACAUCGCUGAGCAGAAAGGUGGAGGGGUUGUAACCCAAGCCCACCCUACAGAGCUUUCUGGAAGUCUUCGUGAAAAGGAGGUCAUUCCAAGUAUAUAAGGAUACUGAGCAUCUUCCAACAGAAACUGCAACCUAUUAGGGUGCUGAAGAGAAAGCUUUAUGUGAGAGAAAAAGAGUAUUUUAAUUUAUAUUCUUUGAGACCUGUGGAUAAAUAUCUAUAGACGUGUAUACGCACAAAUGGAUCCAAGCCACUUAGGACUUUGUAACCUGAUUUUGCCUUUAUUAUGACAAUUAUUGUAUGUAAAUACAUUUCUAUCAUCACAUUUUAAAUUAUUUUACAACUUUUUAAAAUAUCAACCAGGUGUUUCAUUAUACAGAGGCCCCCAAACUUAUUUCAUUAGUAUCCCAGAGAUAAAAAUUUAGUUUAUAUUUUUACGACAAACAAUAGUACACUUAACAUCCUUGCUCAUAUAUAUGCAAAAACUUUGUAAGCACUUCUUUAUAAGUUUCUAAAAAUAAUUUUCAGGUUUUUUUCUUCAACUUUUGUUUUAAUUUCACGGGUACAUGUGCCAAAUGUAUAGGUUUGUUACAUAGGUAAACGUGCGCCAUGGUGGUUUUGCUGCACAGAUCAUGCCAUCACCUAGGUAUUAAGCCCAGCAUCCUUUAGCUAUUCUUCCUGAUGUUCUCCCUCCCCCUCCCGACAGGCCCCAGUGUGUGUUCUCCCACCACUGUGUGUCCACGUGUUCUCAUCAUUCAGCUCCUACUUAUAAGUGAGAACAUGUUUGGUUUUCUGUUCCUGCGUUAGUUUGCUGAGGAUAAUGGCUUUGGUUUGUCAGAAUUUUAUUUAGGAUUUUUGCAUAGAUGUUCAUAGGGAUGUUGGCCUGAAGUUUUCUUUUUUUUGUUUUAUUUCUGCCAGGUUUUGGUAUCAGGAUGAUGCUGGCCUCAUAGAAUGAGUUAGGGAGGAGUCUCUCCUUUUCAAUUGUUUGGAGUAGUCUCAGAAGAAAUGGUACCAGCUCUUCUUUGUGUUUCUGGUAGAAUUCAGCUGUGAAUCUGUCUGGUCCCAGACUUUUUUUUUUUAAUUUGUAGGCUGUUUAUUGCUGCCUCGAUUUCAGAACUCGUUAAUGGUCUCGUCAGUGAUUCAACUUCUUCCUGGUUCAGUCUUGGGAGGUUGUAUGUGUCUAGGAGUUUCUCCAUUUCUUCUAGAUUUUCUAGUUUUAAGUGCAUAGAGGUAUUUAUUGUAUUAUCUGAUGGUUGUUUGUAUUUCUGUGGGGUCAGUGGUGGUAUUUCCCUUAUUAUUUCUGAUUGUGUUUGUUUGAUUCUUCUCUCUUUUCUUCUUUAUUUGCCUAUCUAGCAGUCUAUUUUACUUUUUUCACAAAACCAGCUGCAGAUUCAUUGAUUUUUUGAAGGCUUGUUUGUUUGUUUGUUUGUUUGUUUUUGGAUUUUUUUUUUUUGUCUCUACCUCCUUCAGUUCAGCUCUGAUCUUGGUUAUGUCUUGCCUUCUGCUAGCUUUGGGUUUUGUUUUGUUUUGUUUUGUUUUUUUCUCUUGGUUCUCUCGUUCUUUUAGUUGAGAUGUUAGGUUGUUAACUUGAGAUAUUUCUAGCUUUUCGACGUGGG